rnacentral:misc_RNA from 1 species
GAUGAAGAACGUAGCGAAAUGCGAUAAGUAAUGUGAAUUGCAGAAUUCAGUGAAUCAUCGAAUCUUUGAACGCACCUUGCACCCUUUGGCAUUCCGAAGGGUAUGCUCGUUUGAGUGUCAUUGUACUCUCACACUCUCCGAUCCUAUGGAUUCGGGGAGCGGUGGACUUGGGUGUUGCUGCCUUUCCCUGUGGCUCACCUCAAAUGCGUCAGUGCACCUCUUGGUUGGACAUAGUACGGCGUGAUAAGUGUCUUCGCCGGCACCUCGCAAGAGGGUGGCCGAUCGGGAGCUCUGCGCUUUCAAACCGUCUUCGGACAAUUUCUGACAUCUUGACCUCAAAUCGAGUAGGACUACCCGCUGAACUUAAGCAUAUCAAUCAGCGGAGGA